GAAUCUGCCCAGUAGUGGGGGAUAGCCCGGGGAAACCCGGAUUAAUACCGCAUACGUCCUACGGGGCAAAGCAGGGGAUCUUUGGACCUUGCGCUGUUGGAUGAGCUCAUGUCGGAUUAGCUUGUUGGUGAGGUAAUGGCUCACCAAGGCGACGAUCCGUAGCUGGUCUGAGAGGAUGAUCAGCCACAUCGGGACUGAGACACGGCCCGAACUCCUACGGGAGGCAGCAGUGGGGAAUAUUGGACAAUGGGGGCAACCCUGAUCCAGCCAUGCCGCGUGUGUGAAGAAGGCCUUCGGGUUGUAAAGCACUUUCAGUGAGGAGGAAAGCCUUAUGGUUAUACCCGGUGAGGCUUGACGUUACUCACAGAAGAAGCACCGGCUAACUUCGUGCCAGCAGCCGCGGUAAUACGGAAGGUGCAAGCGUUAAUCGGAAUUACUGGGCGUAAAGCGCGCGUAGGUGGUGUGAUAAGCCGAGAUGUGAAAGCCCCGGGCU
rnacentral:rRNA from 1 species